rnacentral:misc_RNA from 1 species
GCUACUACCGAUUGAAUGGUUUAGUGAGGACUCCUGAUUGGCGCCGCCGGCCCGGCAACGGAGCAGCGGACUGCCGAAAAGUUGUUCAAACUUGAUCAUUUAGAGGAAGUAAAAGUCGUAACAAGGUUUCCGUAGGUGAACCUGCAGAAGGAUCAAGAUCGGACGAGCGUCGUGUAGGGUAAGUGUUUACAUCUCCGUGUUCUCCGUAUCAUUACCAAAUAAUUAUUAUCUUUUCAUCUCCUCUCCUCUCUGCUUAUUCUUUUAUACCUUUCUCUCC